CAUCUUGAUUUUCGUCCAUUCCAUUCCAUUGAGACUGUCAAUUAUUGUAAAAAUUUUUGUUGGUUGAUUUAAUUACGAUGGAUUUAGUUAAUUAGCACCAAUUUCAUCGUCAAUUUAUCAAAUCGUAUUUUAAAUGGUCAAUCUUUGAAUCAAAAAUUGCGCCUUGUUUACUAUCCAUAACAAUGAACAAUGAUUGGUCGAGUGUAAAACCGCGCAAUCAUGUUAUUCAUCAGCUUACUAGAAUAAUUGUGUUUUCUGAUCAAUUUGAUGUGUAUUAUUAAACGAUUAAUUUGAUUUAACGACUGUUUAUUUUUUUAAAUUGUGUAACUUAAUAGUUGGAGAUCAUAAAGAUGUACAGAAAUAAACUAGUUUUACAACAAUACAUGCUAUGGUUGAUUAUAAAAUCAUUAAGACGCAAUCAUUAAUUUUCAUGUGCCAACUCUUUCAGCUAAUCCACUGGAAUCAUUCAUUUGAGUCAAUUAAAUUCGUUUUAUGGCUUAAAUGAUCCUGUUUUCAUUCAAUGGUCCAGUCAACUAAUCGUUAACUCGGGGAUUCACUUGCUAUAUGAAAUGGAAACAAUCCAUCUAUGGAUAUCUAUGUGGUUACCAUCCAUAGCCAGAAGCAAUCAUUGUUACUGCUUGAAUUAUAUUCUUGUGGACGUUUUGUGAUGGUUAUUAAUCAAUGGCAUUUACGGAAGCGUUUUGACCAGAUAAUUAGCCGUUGACUUGUUUAUUGAUGAUUAUCAACAUGAUCGUACACCAGUAAUUUGAGAGCUGUAAACGUUUACUGUAAUUGGCAGGGAUUGGAGGUCAAAUUGGAGCUGUUCUCGAAACAAAGCAAUCAUAACGAGUUCAAAUUGAGAUUCUUUGAAAGUCGAUCGAAAAUCUUGAAUAUAAAUUUAAAUUGGCAAUAAGAAAAGGAGAUUUUGUUUCUUUCACUAUUCACACUGUGCCAUUCAAAAUACAUCUGAAUAGUAUAAUUUGGUGGACUGAUCAAGACAUGCAUGGAUGUGAAUUGAAUUGAUAAUGACUGUUUAUUUUAAAGAUUUUAUCAACUUAAAUUGUUACCUUUUCAACAGUAAAUUAGAUUAACGCUGAUGAAAAUCCAAGUGAGAUGAAUAAAUCAAUUGAUCAAUCCAUAAAGUUCGCAAGAGGACAAAAAUUGUCAAAACAAGAGCCGAAAGGAUUAUCACCUAAUAAAUGUGAAAAACAUAAAAAGAU